UGGGGAAUAUUGCACAAUGGGGGAAACCCUGAUGCAGCGACGCCGCGUGGAGGAAGAAGGUCUUCGGAUUGUAAACUCCUGUUGUUGAGGAAGAUAAUGACGGUACUCAACAAGGAAGUGACGGCUAACUACGUGCCAGCAGCCGCGGUAAAACGUAGGUCACAAGCGUUGUCCGGAAUUACUGGGUGUAAAGGGAGCGCAGGCGGGAAGACAAGUUGGAAGUGAAAUCCAUGGGCUCAACCCAUGAACUGCUUUCAAAACUGUUUUUCUUGAGUAGUGCAGAGGUAGGCGGAAUUCCCGGUGUAGCGGUGGAAUGCGUAGAUAUCGGGAGGAACACCAGUGGCGAAGGCGGCCUACUGGGCACCAACUGACGCUGAGGCUCGAAAGUGUGGGUAGCAAACAGGAUUAGAUACCCUGGUAGUCCACACUGUAAACGAUGAUUACUAGGUGUUGGAGGAUUGACCCCUUCAGUGCCGCAGUUAACACAAUAAGUAAUCCACCUGGGGAGUACGACCGCAAGGUUGAAACUCAAAGGAAUUGACGGGGGCCCGCACAAGCAGUGGAGUAUGUGGUUUAAUUCGACGCAACGCGAAGAACCUUACCAAGUCUUGACAUCCUGCGACGAUGCUGGAAACAGUACUUUCCUUCGGGACGCAGAGACAGGUGGUGCAUGGUUGUCGUCAGCUCGUGUCGUGAGAUGUUGGGUUAAGUCCCGCAACGAGCGCAACCCUUAUGGUCAGUUACUACGCAAGAGGACUCUGGCCAGACUGCCGUUGACAAAACGGAGGAAGGUGGGGAUGACGUCAAAUCAUCAUGCCCUUUAUGACUUGGGCUACACACGUACUACAAUGGCGUUAAACAAAGAGAAGCAAGACCGCGAGGUGGAGCAAAACUCAGAAACAACGUCCCAGUUCGGACUGCAGGCUGCAACUCGCCUGCACGAAGUCGGAAUUGCUAGUAAUCGCAGAUCAGCAUGCUGCGGUGAAUACGUUCCC
rnacentral:rRNA from 1 species